rnacentral:rRNA from 1 species
UACGAAGGGGGCAAGCGUUGUUCGGAAUUAAUGGGAGUAAAGAGUGCGUAGGCGGUAAUGUAAGAAAGAUGUGAAAUCCCCGGGCUUAACCUGGGACCUGCAUUUGUGACUGCAUUGCUGGAGUGCGGCAGAGGGGGAUGGAAUUCCGCGUGUAGCAGUGAAAUGCGUAGAUAUGCGGAGGAACACCGAUGGCGAAGGCAAUCCCCUGGGCCUGCACUGACGCUCAUGCACGAAAGCGUGGGGAGCAAACAGG